rnacentral:rRNA from 1 species
GACGAACGCUGGCGGCGUGCUUAACACAUGCAAGUCGAACGGAAAGGCCCUGCUUUUGUGGGGUGCUCGAGUGGCGAACAGGUGAGUAACACGUGAGUAACCUGCCCUUGACUUUGGGAUAACUUCAGGAAACUGGGGCUAAUACCGGAUAGGAGCUCCUGCUGCAUGGUGGGGGUUGGAAAGUUUCGGCGGUCGGGGAUGGACUCGCGGCUUAUCAGCUUGUUGGUGGGGUAGUGGCUUACCAAGGCUUUGACGGGUAGCCGGCCUGAGAGGGUGACCGGCCACAUUGGGACUGAGAUACGGCCCAGACUCCUACGGGAGGCAGCAGUGGGGAAUAUUGCACAAUGGGCGGAAGCCUGAUGCAGCAACGCCGCGUGCGGGAUGACGGCCUUCGGGUUGUAAACCGCUUUCGCCUGUGACGAAGCGUGAGUGACGGUAAUGGGUAAAGAAGCACCGGCUAACUACGUG